rnacentral:lncRNA from 1 species
AUUUUUUUGAUUUUGAAGGUUCUUUUUACCUUAAUUAUUUUUUGAAUCAAUGGAGACAAUUGCAAGACUCCGCUGUCGUAACCCAUCUUUCCUCACCUCCCUUGGUGAUAGUCCCCGCUGACAAUUUAAAGAUUUGGUAUCCUAAUGAAGAAGAUCUCCAAAAUCUUGCUAUUUAAUAGAAGCCUUGCCCAGAAGCCAGUUUGCGGCAUUACGCACCUCUAGCAAAGUAAU